GAUGAACGCUGGCGGCGUGCCUAAUACAUGCAAGUCGAGCGAACGGACGAGAAGCUUGCUUCUCUGAUGUUAGCGGCGGACGGGUGAGUAACACGUGGAUAACCUACCUAUAAGACUGGGAUAACUUCGGGAAACCGUAGCUAAUACCGGAUAAUAUUUUGAACCGCAUGGUUCAAAAGUGAAAGACGGUCUUGCUGUCACUUAUAGAUGGAUCCGCGCUGCAUUAGCUAGUUGGUAAGGUAACGGCUUACCAAGGCAACGAUGCAUAGCCGACCUGAGAGGGUGAUCGGCCACACUGGAACUGAGACACGGUCCAGACUCCUACGGGAGGCAGCAGUAGGGAAUCUUCCGCAAUGGGCGAAAGCCUGACGGAGCAACGCCGCGUGAGUGAUGAAGGUCUUCGGAUCGUAAAACUCUUUUAUUAGGGAAGAACAUAUGUGUAAGUAACUGUGCACAUCUUGACGGUACCUAAUCAGAAAGCCACGGCUAACUACGUG
rnacentral:rRNA from 1 species